rnacentral:rRNA from 2 species
GCGGAUGGAGCUGAAGCCAGUCGAAGAUACCAGCUGGCUGCAACUGUUUAAUAAAAACACAGCACUGUGCAAACACGAAAGUGGACGUAUACGGUGUGACGCCUGCCCGGUGCUGGAAGGUUAAUUGAUGGGGUCAGCCGCAAGGCGAAGCUCUUGAUCGAAGCCCCAGUAAACGGCGGCCGUAACUAUAACGGUCCUAAGGUAGCGAAAUUCCUUGUCGGGUAAGUUCCGACCUGCACGAAUGGCGUAAUGAUGGCCAGGCUGUCUCCACCCGAGACUCAGUGAAAUUGAACUCGCUGUGAAGAUGCAGUGUACCCGCGGCAAGACGGAAAGACCCCGUGAACCUUUACUAUAGCUUGACACUGAACAUUGAGCCUUGAUGUGUAGGAUAGGUGGGAGGCUUUGAAGCGUGGACGCCAGUCUGCGUGGAGCCAUCCUUGAAAUACCACCCUUUAAUGUUUGAUGUUCUAACUCGGCCCCAUAAUCUGGGGUGAGGACAGUGUCUGGUGGGUAGUUUGACUGGGGCGGUCUCCUCCCAAAGAGUAACGGAGGAGCACGAAGGUUAGCUAAUCACGGUCGGACAUCGUGAGGUUAGUGCAAAGGCAUAAGCUAGCUUGACUGCGAGAGUGACGGCUCGAGCAGGUACGAAAGUAGGUCUUAGUGAUCCGGUGGUUCUGAAUGGAAGGGCCAUCGCUCAACGGAUAAAAGGUACUCCGGGGAUAACAGGCUGAUACCGCCCAAGAGUUCAUAUCGACGGCGGUGUUUGGCACCUCGAUGUCGGCUCAUCACAUCCUGGGGCUGAAGUAGGUCCCAAGGGUAUGGCUGUUCGCCAUUUAAAGUGGUACGCGAGCUGGGUUUAGAACGUCGUGAGACAGUUCGGUCCCUAUCUGCCGUGGGCGUUGGAAGAUUGAGAGGGGUUGCUCCUAGUACGAGAGGACCGGAGUGAACGCACCACUGGUGUUCGGGUUGUCAUGCCAAUGGCAUUGCCCGGUAGCUAAGUGCGGAAAAGAUAAGCGCUGAAAGCAUCUAAGCGCGAAACUUGCCUCAAGAUGAGUCUUCCCUGGGCCUU